rnacentral:rRNA from 1 species
UGGGGAAUAUUGCACAAUGGGCGAAAGCCUGAUGCAGCGACGCCGCGUGCGGGAUGACGGCCUUCGGGUUGUAAACCGCUUUCGGCAGGGAAGAAGCCGCAAGGUGACGGUACCUGCAGAAGAAGCGCCGGCUAACUACGUGCCAGCAGCCGCGGUAAUACGUAGGGCGCAAGCGUUGUCCGGAAUUAUUGGGCGUAAAGAGCUCGUAGGCGGUUCGUCGCGUCUGCUGUGAAAUCCUCAGGCUCAACCUGGGGCGUGCAGUGGGUACGGGCGGACUAGAGUGCGGUAGGGGUGACUGGAAUUCCUGGUGUAGCGGUGGAAUGCGCAGAUAUCAGGAGGAACACCGAUGGCGAAGGCAGGUCACUGGGCCGCAACUGACGCUGAGGAGCGAAAGCACGGGGAGCGAACAGGAUUAGAUACCCUGGUAGUCCAUGCCGUAAACGUUGGGCACUAGGUGUGGGGUCCAUUCCACGGAUUCCGUGCCGCAGCAAAGCGCAUUAAGUGCCCCGCCUGGGGAGUACGGCCGCAAGGCUAAAACUUAAAGGAAUUGACGGGGUCAUAGCUG